AUGGCUCAGGAUGAACGCUAGCGGCAGGCUAACACAUGCAAGUCGAGGGGCAGCGGGAUGUAGCAAUACAUUGCCGGCGACCGGCGGAUGGGUGCGUAACGCGUAUGCAACCUACCUUAUACAGGGGAAUAACCUUUCGAAAGGGAGACUAACACCCCAUGGUAUUGAUUUAAGGCAUCUUAGAUUAAUUAAAUAUUUAUAGGUAUAAGAUGGGCAUGCGUAUGAUUAGCUAGUUGGUAAGGUAACGGCUUACCAAGGCGACGAUCAUUAGGGGUUCUGAGAGGAAGGUCCCCCACACUGGUACUGAGACACGGACCAGACUCCUACGGGAGGCAGCAGUGAGGAAUAUUGGUCAAUGGGCGCAAGCCUGAACCAGCCAUGCCGCGUGCAAGGAAGACGGCCUUAUGGGUUGUAAACUGCUUUUACAUAAGACUAACCGUAUAUUUGCGAAUAUACCUGAAUGUAUUAUGAGAAUAAGGAUCGGCUAACUCCGUGCCAGCAGCAGC
rnacentral:rRNA from 1 species